CUGGUUCAAGGUCGACCAGGACUCCUGACUCCCCUGGGUUCUCUCUCCUGGGCUUAGCUACAGCUUGGAUAGUAGUCCUGACUUAAUCAAAAGGGAUGCAGCAGUGUGGGAGACAGACUAGGAGCUUAGAAUUGAAUGAUGGUGCUGGACAGAUGGUCCCCAC